rnacentral:tRNA from 1 species
GCCUGGGUGGCUCAGUCAGUUGAGCGUCCGACUUCAGCUCAGGUCAUGGUGUCACAGUUCGUGAGUUCAAGCCCCGCAUCAGGCU